rnacentral:rRNA from 1 species
UACAGAGGUCUCAAGCGUUGUUCGGAUUCAUUGGGCGUAAAGGGUGCGUGGGUGGCGCGCUAAGUCAGGUGUGAAAUUUCGGAGCUUAACUCCGAAACUGCAUUUGAUACUGGCGUGCUUGAGGACUGGAGGGGAGACUGGAAUUCAUGGUGUAGCAGUGAAAUGCGUAGAGAUCAUGAGGAAGACCAGUGGCGAAGGCGGGUCUCUGGACAGUUCCUGACACUGAGGCACGAAGGCCAGGGGAGCAAACGGG